CCUACGGGUGGCAGCAGUGAGGAAUAUUGGUCAAUGGGCGUAAGCCUGAACCAGCCAUCCCGCGUGCAGGAAGAAGGCGCUAUGCGUCGUAAACUGCUUUUCCAGGGGAAGAAAACCCGUUACGUGUAACGGCUUGCCGGUACCCUGGGAAUAAGCAUCGGCUAACUCCGUGCCAGCAGCCGCGGUAAUACGGAGGAUGCGAGCGUUAUCCGGAUUUAUUGGGUUUAAAGGGUGCGUAGGCGGAUUAAUAAGUCAGUGGUGAAAACCUUCAGCUUAACUGGAGACUUGCCAUUGAUACUGUUAGUCUUGAGUACGGUCAAGGUAGGCGGAAUGUGUAAUGUAGCGGUGAAAUGCUUAGAUAUUACACAGAACACCGAUUGCGAAGGCAGCUUACUGGGCCAUUACUGACGCUGAUGCACGAAAGCGUGGGGAGCGAACAGGAUUAGAUACCCUGGUAGUC
rnacentral:rRNA from 1 species